AAGGAGAGAUAUGACACAUUUUUUUUUUAUGUUUGUUUAGGACUGGCAUUACAUAAAAACAUCACACAAGAACAGUUUCUAUUCUAUAAACGUUCCAGUCUUGGUUAUAUUUUUAAUGUUUUAUCAUUGUUAUGUACAUCGAAGAAAAAAAAGAAGAAACCUUCAAUAAUAGACUUCAAAUGUUGGGAGUUGCGGUUGGAACGGCAGCUCGAAGGAUGCAAGUUCAGCCUGGACACUCCCAGAGGCUGAACAGAAGUUUUUUUCCAUCUACUCAUCGUGCGGCAGUAAGGCGCUUCAGAGGUGGCUCCUAGCCCAAUGGAGAUUUGACUGUUUGAGGGCAUCAAGCAGUCCAUCGACAUGGCUUUGCUCCAAAGCAAGAUUAUCAGUAGUAUAAAGGAUUAAUUGAUCCGGUUGAACAUCCCCAAAAGUCAACAGUCAUUAUUGCAUGUAUUUCAGCAUUUGGAACUCUAUGGGAAUCAUG